AGCGAACGCUGGCGGCAGGCCUAACACAUGCAAGUCGAACGAAGCCUUCGGGCUUAGUGGCGGACGGGUGAGUAACACGUGGGAACGUACCUUUUGGUUCGGAAUAACGCAGAGGAAUUUGCGCUAAUACCGAAUGAGCCCUUAGGGGGAAAGAUUUAUCGCCGAAAGAUCGGCCCGCGUUGGAUUAGGUAGUUGGUGUGGUAAAGGCGCACCAAGCCUACGAUCCAUAGCAGGUCUGAGAGGAUGAUCAGCCACACUGGGACUGAGACACGGCCCAGACUCCUACGGGAGGCAGCAGUGGGGAAUCUUGCGCAAUGGGCGAAAGCCUGACGCAGCCAUGCCGCGUGAAUGAUGAAGGUCUUAGGAUUGUAAAAUUCUUUUACCAGGGACGAUAAUGACGGUACCUGGAGAAAAAGCCCCGGCUAACUUCGUGCCAGCCGCCGCGGUAAUAC
rnacentral:rRNA from 1 species